UAAAAGUGUGCAGUGUCACCUCAAGUGUGAACAUGCACAUGUACUUUCUUUUUUUUCAGUAUAAGUUAGUAGGUUUAAAACAAAAAUAAAAUCUUCCAGUCAGCACCGCUCCUGCUCUGGUGCCUGAAUAACAUGGUUCUCUUGAAGAGGGCACUGGGCUAACUCAAAUGCCUUCACAAAGUCUGCCUGAUCCUCAGAUCAAGGGCUGGAGUGGGGCGUAUAUAAACUGUCGGGGGGUUGGAGCCACAAUGUUUAAUGAAAGGGUAAACAUUAAAAACAACUCAUCUUAGUGUCAGUCUGCAAGUAGCUGCCAG